rnacentral:rRNA from 1 species
UUGUCGAGACCAAAAUUAUAUCGAGCGAUUCGGAGAACCUGUGAAAUAAGCGGCGGCCGCAGUCGUCGCGAAACAGCCGUCCCUGCCGUCGGCCCCCCUGUCUGGAGGGGGCCGCGAUGGGGGACGGCUGAAACCCCAAACCGGCGCAGACUGGCGCCAAGGUAACUAUCGAAAGGCACGAGCCCGACAUCGGGUCCUCGUGGGGCGGAGCGGUGUUGCGCACCGCACGUAUUGACACGACUCUCGACAAUGGAUAUCUCGGCUCUCGCAUCGAUGAAGAGCGCAGCGAAAUGCGAUACGUGGUGCGAAUUGCAGAAUCCCGCGAACCAUCGAGUCUUUGAACGCAAGUUGCGCCCGAGGCCAAUCGGUCGAGGGCACGUCCGCCUGGGCGUCAGACGUUGCGUCGCUCCGUGCCAAGUCCCCGCCGCCCCACCGUAGCGGGGGUGCCGGGCGAGGCUCGGAUGUGCAGAGCGGCCCGUCGUGCCCAUCGGUGCGGCGGGCUGAAGAGCGGGUUGUCAUCUCAUUGGCCACGAACAACGAGGGGUGGAUGAAAGCUGCCGCGGGCAAGGCCCGCGUUGUCUCGUGCCGGCCCGAGAGAAGAUUGCGCCCUUCGUGCGAUCCCAUCCCAUGCGCCGCCCGCGCGCGGCGGCUUGGAACGCGACCCCAGGAUGGGCGAGACCACCCGCCGAGUUUAAGCAUAUCAAUAAGCGGAGGAGAAGAAACUUACGAGGAUUCCCCUAGUAACGGCGAGCGAACCGGGACAUGCCCAGCAUGGGAAUCGGGCC